AGGGGUAUUGCUCAGUGGUAGAGCAUUUAACUGCAGCUCAAGUGGUCCCAGGUUCAAAUCCUGGUGUCCCCU